rnacentral:rRNA from 1 species
GUGUCAGCAGCCGCGGUAAUACGGAGGAUCCAAGCGUUAUCCGGAAUCAUUGGGUUUAAAGGGUCCGUAGGCGGUUUAAUAAGUCAGUGGUGAAAGCCCAUCGCUUAACGAUGGAACGGCCAUUGAUACUGUUAGACUUGAAUUAGUGGGAAGUAACUAGAAUAUGUAGUGUAGCGGUGAAAUGCUUAGAUAUUACAUGGAAUACCAAUUGCGAAGGCAGGUUACUAUCACUAUAUUGACGCUGAUGGACGAAAGCGUGGGGAGCGAACAGGAUUAGAAACCCUCGUAGUCC